rnacentral:rRNA from 1 species
UACGAGGGGGGCUAGCGUUGCUCGGAAUCACUGGGCGUAAAGCGCACGUAGGCGGCUUUUUAAGUCAGGGGUGAAAUCCUGGAGCUCAACUCCAGAACUGCCUUUGAUACUGAGAAGCUUGAGUCCGGGAGAGGUGAGUGGAACUGCGAGUGUAGAGGUGAAAUUCGUAGAUAUUCGCAAGAACACCAGUGGCGAAGGCGGCUCACUGGCCCGGUACUGACGCUGAGGUGCGAAAGCGUGGGGAGCAAACAGG